rnacentral:snoRNA from 1 species
GCUGUGAUGACUUUUUUUGGUGUUGUUCAUCUGAAAUGAUGGUGCUUAUAUGUCCUCUAAGAAGUUCUGAGCUC